CAGCAGCCGCGGUAAUACGUAGGGUGCGAGCGUUAAUCGGAUUUACUGGGCGUAAAGCGUGCGCAGGCGGCCCGUUAAGACAGGUGUGAAAUCCCUGGGCUCAACCUAGGAAUUGCGCUUGUGACUGGCGGGCUCGAGUACGGUAGAGGGGGGUGGAAUUCCUGGUGUAGCAGUGAAAUGCGCAGAGAUCAGGAGGAACACCGAUGGCGAGGGCAGCCCCCUGGGCCUGUACUGACGCUCAUGCACGAAAGCGUGGGGAGCAAACAGGAUUAGAUACCCUGGUAGUCCACGCCCUAAACGAUGGGUACUAGCCGUUUGGUGCGCGAUAGCGCUGAGUGGCGAAGCUAACGCGUGAAGUACCCCGCCUGGGGAGUACGGCCGCAAGGUUGAAACUUAAAGGAAUUGGCGGG
rnacentral:rRNA from 1 species